rnacentral:rRNA from 1 species
CGAGGGGUGCAAGCGUUGUUCGGAAUUACUGGGCGUAAAGCGCGUGUAGGCGGCCAAGCGGGUCAGAUGUGAAAUCCCUCGGCUUAACCGGGGAAGUGCGUCUGAAACUACUUGGCUCGAGUACGGGAGGGGAGGAUGGAAUUCCCAGUGUAGAGGUGAAAUUCGUAGAUAUUGGGAGGAACACCAGUGGCGAAAGCGGUUCUCUAGACCGUAACUGACGCUGAGACGCGAAAGCGUGGGGAGCAAACAGGAUUAGAUACCCUGGUAGUCCACGCUGUAAACGAUGGGUACUAGGUGUUGUGAGCUUAAUACUCGCAGUGCCGUCGCUAACGCAUUAAGUACCCCGCCUGGGGAGUACGGCCGCAAGGUUA